GGUUUGGUGGCACAACGAUUAGCGCACUGGGUGUCUCUGGCGACAACAUUCAGUUACCCAGAGGUAUCCCGUUCGAUUCGGGACCAAGCCA